GCCAGGCGGGGCGUGCAGCCGAAGCUGCGCCUGCGCGCCGGGCUUCCUGGCUGCCAGGAGUUACCGCAUUCGAGUAAGAGUGGGACGUUGCUAAACCUUGUGAACGAAAAGAUGUUUCCCUUCUGAGAUGACUAUUUUUCUUCAGUGCCUUCUUGGAUCCUAGAAGGGGCAAAAAUGACUAGUUUCUGGGGCAUCAUGUGGGAUCUUAAUUCCCCAACUGAGGAUUGAACCUGCACCCCCUGUAGUGGGGGCACAGAGUCUUAACCACUGGACUGCCAGGGAAGUCCCUGUAUAUUCUUCAAGGGAUUCCAGGCUAGUGCUGCUUGGUCCUGCUCAGCCUGUUCUCUGUGUCAGCCCAGCCAUGGCACUCUUCUGCCCUUCCCUUAUCCUGGUUUCCUCAGUGGAGACACGGAUUCAAGCCCUGGUCCGGGAAGAUCCCACAUGCCGCGGAUCACCUAAGCCAGUGGGCCACAACUGCUGAGCCUGCACUCUAGAGCCCAUGAGUCACAACUACUGAAGCUUGUGUGCCUAGAGCCCAUGCUCCACAACAAGAGAAGUCACAGCAAUAAGCCCGUGCACCACAAGGAAGAGUAGCCCCCGUUUGCUGCAUCUAGAGAAAAGCCUGCGUGCAGCAAUGAAGACCCAAUGCAGCCAAAAAUAAAUUAAAUAAAUAAAUAUAUUAAAAAAUAAAAUAAAGGCCUCAGGAAAUAAUACUCAACAGGGAUAUUUUUUAUUGUUUUUAAUAAUUUCACAGAUUGUUUCAGUAAAGUCAAAAGCCCAUGGUUGAUGUGCUGUUUUAUUAAAUGGGUGCUGAGAGUUGCUAAGGGGCCUCUCUUGAGUAACUUCCUCUUCUUAAUUGGGACAGAAAUUCUGGCUGUGGAUAGAAACAUAGAAGGGCCAAAAUAAAACUCAACUGUUCUACAACUUCUGGUUCUCAAUAGACUCCACUUAAGCAUUUUGUUCUAUUUCAAAGCUAAGUCAUUAAAACAGGGGCCAGUUCUAACGAAGAGCAUACUUAUGAAGAAAUAUGGAUAACACAGAGAAAGGAAAGGCAGGAAAAAAAAUUCAUUAAUGAACUACAAGUGGCCAUAAAUCUGGAAACGUGAGUGAAUAUACUGAAAAGAUUUGUGAAUAUUACAAUACGAAACAUGCUAUGUUCAGUAACGUUACACAAUACGUUCCUCACUAGGGAUGCCUCGUUCGAUGCGAUGGGCCAACGACCCACAGCACAUGCAGUGCUAAUGCACAGUUUCUACCAUUCCUUGCAAAUGAGUCUGUGAUACCUUGUCUCGUAUAAUUUAUCUUUGAUUUUCAUUUUCACUGUAUAAACAUACAUACCCCAGAAGAAGUAAACAAGGGGGUUCAAUCUGUAAAAAUAUAAACUGUUAUCUAUGUUUCCAGACUUUAUGGCUAUCUUGUAACUUCUACAGAGAUGAACACAGAAAAUAGAUGCAAAGAGAAUGGUAAAGAGUCCAGAGCAAAAGAGUCUAGGGUAAAAGUAGAAACAUACAGAGUGUGACCAUGGCGACAAAACUGGGGGGGGUGAAAUAUCCAAACCCAAGCAGGGAGCGACAGGGACAGAGAAGAGAGACAUAGAGAUCCUUUGGAAAACAGGCAACAUAUCAAGGGGACAGGACAGUGAGAAGGACAGAAAAGCAGGUCGAAAAGGAAAAAAGCAUUCUUAAAAGGAAUUUCCUAAACUUCACAAACUGUCAAAUGCAGCCUUCAUUAGCCAUAGCUGAUGGAUGGAAGCAUACUUUUUACACAGAAAAUUAGAAAACUAUAAUGUAAGCACUAGAAAGAAAUUAAAAGUUUAUCUAGUCCAACACCUAAUUUUACAGAUGAAGAAAUUAAGGCACGGAGAGGUUCUAGAGACAGAUUUGGGUGGCCCUGUUGGAAAGGUGGGAGAGUCUGAUGACCAUCAAGAGAAAAUAACGGGGCUUCCCUGAUGGCGCAGUGGUUAAGAAUCUGCCUGCCAAUGCAGGGGACACGGGUUCAAGCCCUGGUCCGGGAAGAUCCCACAUGCCGCGGAGCAACUAAGCCCGUGCACCACAACUACUGAGCCUGCGUGCCACAACUACUGAAGCCUGCGCGCCUAGAGCCCGUGCUCCGCAACAAGAGAAGCCACUGCAAUGAGAAGCCCGCGUGCCACAACGAAGAGUAGCCCCUGCUUGCUGCAACUAGAGAAAGCCUGUGCACAGCAACGAAGACCCAAAGCAGCCCAAAAUAAAUAAAUUAAAUAAAAUAAAACAGAGAAAAUAAUGUCUUUUCACAGUUCUCAAUAUUCAUUUAUUUAUUUAUUUAUUUUAUUGCAAUAUAGUUGAUUUACAAUGUUGUGGCAAUCUCUGCUGUAUAGCAAAGUGACUUAGUUUUACACAUAUACACAUUCUUAUUUAAAUAUUCUUUUCCAUUAUGGUUUAUCACAGGAGAUUGUGUAUAGUUCCCUGUGCUAUACAGUAGGACCUUGGUGUUUAUCCAUUCUAAGUGUAAUAGUUUGCAUCUACCAACGCCAAAUUCCCAGUCCAUCCCUCUCCUCCCCCCACCCCCCCGGCAACCAUAAAUCUGAUCUCUAUGUCUGUUCUGUAGAUAGGUUCAUUUGUGCCAUAUUUUAGAUUCCACAUGAGAGUGAUAUCAUACGGUAUUUGUCUUUCUCUUUCUGACUUACUUCACUUAGUAUGAUAAUCUCUAGUUGCAUCCAUGUUACUGCAAAUGUUAUUAUUUUGUUCUUUUUUUAUGGCUGAGUAGUAUUCCAUUGUAUAUAUGCACCACAUCUUCUUUAUCCAUUCAUCUGUCGCUGGACAUUUAGGUUGUUUCCAUGUUUUGGCUAUUGUGAAUAUUGCUGCUAUGCACAGUUCUCAAUAUUUAAAUGAAACAGGUGAUGGAAACUCAUCUACUCUUUUUUUAAAAUUAAUUAAUUUAUUUAUUAUUUGGUUGCGCCGGGUCUUAGUUGUGGCCUGCAGCCUCCUUAGUUGUGGCUCGUGGGCUCCUUAGUUGCGGCAGGUGAACUCUUAGUUGCAGCAUGCAUGCGGGAUCUAGUUCCCUGGCCAGGGAUCAAACCCGGGCCUCCUGCAUUGGGAGUGUGGAGUCUUAACCUCUGUGCCACCUGGGAAGUCCCCUCAUCUGCUCUUGAGUGGGCCAAUUUAUGCACCAUCUGUUAGGGAAGAACUAAAUGGGAACUCAAGCUCUAGACUUGUCUUGUUCCAGCCAUUCUUUAGGUUAAAUUACAUCAGCCCUGGAGUUUAUGGAAAGAGAUCAUGGGAAGACUGAGUGUUGAGGUGGAAAGAGUGCCUGUCCUGUGUCAGGUUAACCUGGGUUCUUGCACUGGCUCUGCCAGUUACUAGCCACUGAGAUCCCAGGCAAGUCAAUUAAUCCAUGCAUUUCUCAGUUUUCCAAAAUGAGAAUAAUACCAUGUGCUUCAUGUGGUACUUGAGGAGAUAAGUGAAGGAAUACAUAGUAUAAAGUGCAUAGCAAUUCACCAAAGCAAUAAAAGUGGCCAAUGCUAAAAAAAAAAGUUCUUCCUAACUAGGAAUCAAAGAAAUGCAAAUAAAGAGCAACGGGAUACCACUUUCGCCUACCAAACUGACAGAUUAAAAGAAAACAAAGCUAAUAACAUGAUGCUGGAGGGUGUGGAAGCAGAUAUUCUCAUAUUUUGCUCAAAAGAAUGUAAAUUUGUACAUUUCUGGAGAUCAGUUUGGCAACAUUUUUAAGAGCCUUAAAAAUGUUCGUGCUGGGACUUCCUCGCGGCGCAGUGGUUAAGAAUCUGCCUGCCAAUGCAGGGGACAUGGGUUCGAUCCCUAGUCCGGGAAGAUCCCACAUGCCGCUGAGCAACAAAGCCUGUGAGCCACAGCUACUGAGUCUGUGCUCUAGAGCCUGCGAGCCAUAACUACUGAGCCCGCUACCGAAGCCCUCGCGCCUGGAGUAGCCUAGAGCUACUGAAGUCCUCACGCCUAGAGCUCGUGCUCCACAACAAGAGAAGCCACCGCGAUGAGAAGCCCACGCACUGCAAGGAAGAGUAGCCCCCGCUCGCUGCAACUAGAGAAAGCCUGCAUGCAGCAACGAAGACACAGUGCAGCCAAAAAUAAAUAAAUAAACAAAUUUAAAUGUGGCAUGUUUAAAAAACAAAAAAAGAGUACAUAACUGGCGGGAUUAUAUUUGCAGAAGAGAAAGUAAAUAUUAUAAAAAAUAAUGUUCAUGCUCUUUGAUCCCUGAUUUUACUUCUAGAUAUUGAGCCUAAGGAAAUAAUGACAUGUAGGAGGAAAAAGAUAUUGUAUAUCUAUAUCUAUAAAUUUGUUCAUAUAAGUUCUUUAUAUCAGGGGUCCCCAACCCUGGGGCCACGGUCCGUGGCCUAUUAGGAACCGGGCUGCACAGCAGGAGAUGAGCGGCAGGUGAGCAAAACUUCAUCUGCCGCCCCCCAUCACUUGCAUUACCACCUGAACCAUCCCCACCCACCUUCUCUGUGGAAAAAUUGUCUUCCGUGAAACCGGUCCCUGGUGCCAAUAGGGUUGGGGACCACUCCUUUAUAUGACAGAAAAUAAUAUGGUAAUUAUGAAUUUUCACAACCUUCCUCUCUCCCACAAGGCAAAAAGAAUGUUUUGCUGCUCGAUUGGUAAAGUGAGGGUAUUGGGUCCUGGAGAAAAUGCAAUGGAGCUUCAAUUUAAUUAACAUUGAAAAAGGCAGAUAUUUAUAGGAGAGUGGGAAGAAUUUUAUCAGACUGUUUGGCGUCAGGGACCAAAGAGAUGAUGGGAAAAGGAAGGAAGGAAAUGGAGAAACCAGGAAAAGCCGAGCUAGUUGGGAGGAAGUUUCAAACAACUGUCCUCUGCAUGAAGUAUUAAGAGAAAGAGGGAGAAGAGAAGAGAGGAUUUUGAGAAGCUUUGCUAUGUCUUAUUAAUGGAAUCUCCCUUUGGUUUUGUUUUUUUUAAUAUAUUUAUUUAUUUUAUUUAUUUAUUUUUGGCUGCAUUGGGUCUUCGUUGCUGCGUGCGGGCUUUCUCUAGUUACGGCGAGUGGGGGCUACUCUUCAUUGUGGUGCGCAGGCUUCUCAUUGCGGUGGCUUCUCGUGGCGGAGCACAGGCUAUAGGCGCGCGGGCUUCAGUAGUUGUGGCGCACGGACUCCGUAGUUGUGACACACAGGCUUAGUUGCUCCGCGGCAUGUGGGAUCUUCCCGGACCAGGGCUCGAACCCUUAUCCCCUGCAUUGGCAGGCAGAUUCUCAACCACUGCACCACCAGGGAGGCCCCUCCCUUUGGUUUUAUCUUGAGAAAGUGAAGAUUUACUUUUCUUUUUCUUCUCAUUCUCCUCCUUUUUCCUUGAUUCUUUCUUUUAUUUUUAAAUGCUGGAAUGAUGUUUCUGUAAAAUCUUAGCUUGAGCUACCCGUCAGCUUGGUUUUAUAGGGGUUAUAUUUAAAACAGUAAACAUAAUUAGACACACUCUGAAUAUCCAAGAAUAGGAAAUUAGUUAAAUAAGUUAACUAGUUUAUAAGUUAAAUAAGUUAGCGCAUGUCUAUAGCCAUUGACAUACUGAAGAAUAUUUAAUAACACGAAUACUUGAAUAAUAUAUUAAGUGAAAUAGGUUAUGAUCCCAACAUGGUGUGUGUGUGUGUGUGUAUUGUUAUGUAUCAUCAAAAAAGACGGGAGGUCAGUAUACUAAUUAUUAACAGUGAUAUGUUUAGAAUUACUGAUUAUUUUUAUUUUCUUAAUGCUCAUCUAAAUUUUAUGAAUUCCCUACAUUGAUCAAGUAAUACUUUUAUAAUCAGAAACCUCCUUACCUUAAACCUUAUUUUUUAAAGUGAGUAGCACAAGAACCAUACAGCUUCUAGAUAAAGUACAGAAGAGUAUCUUUGUGACCUUGAAGGAAGCAAAGAUUUCUCAGCAGGACACAAAAAGCACUAGCCAUUAAAGGAAAAAUUGAAAACUUGGACUUCAUCCAAAUUAUAAAUAUUUACUCAUCACAAGACAUCACUGGGACUUCCCUGGUGGCACAGUGGUUAAGAGUCUGCCUGCCGAUGCAGGGGACACGGGUUUAAUCCCUGCUCUGGGAAGAUCCCACAUGCUGCGGAGCAACUAAGCCUGUGUGCCACAACUACUGAGCCUGUGCUCUAGAGCCCGCGAGCCACAACUACUGAAGCCCGUGCACCCUAAAGCUAUGCUCCACAACAAGAGAAGCCACCGCAAUGAGAAGGCCGCGUACCACAAUGAAGAGUAGCCCCCACUUGCCACAACUAGAGAAAGCCCAGGCGCAGCAGUAAAGACCCAACGCAGCCAAAAAAAAAAAAAGACAUCACUAAGAAAAUGAGUAGACAAAUGAUAGACUGGGAAAACAGUUUUCAUUUUACAUAUACAUGACCAAGGAUUCAUAUCCAGAUAAUUUAAGGAGUGCCUAUAAAUUAACAACAAAAAGUUGAGCUACCCAAUUAAAAAAUGGGCGAAAGACUUGAAAAGAUGCCUCACAAAAAAAGAGAUAUAAAUGGCCAAUAAGCCAUGAAAAGUGCUUGUAGUAAAUGCUAUGAUGUGCCACUCUGAUUCUCCUUUUGGAAUGAAGGACUUACUCCUCAGCUGUUGGAAAGGCUGCCAGCAGACAGCUUUCAAUCAGUCCACUUCAGUGAUUGCCUCUGCUGAAGAGCCCUGACUUUCCCAAGGUCAAAGCUUAUACACACAUACACACACAAUGAAUUGCUCUAGGCACUAAGUAAAUGUUUAAUAAACAAGAGCCUCAUCUCGCAGUGGUCUACAUCCAGUGACUAAUCAACAUGGGGGUACAAAAACCCAGCCACUUGUCCAAACUCAGAACAUUUUUGACGGCUCAUCCCAGUUUCAGCGCUUUCUGUAAGGUCAGCUGAGGCCUCUGACACUACAUUGUAUAAUAGCUCAACUUCUUCCCUUGCUCAAUCAUGCUCUGUCUC